rnacentral:lncRNA from 1 species
AUAGACUGGAUGGUCUGAACGGAAAAUGGGGAAAUUGGCCCCAAAAUUGGCCCCAAAAGUGACACUGUGGGACCAAAUAUGGGGAAAUUGGACCCAAACGCGGCGCUCGGGACUGAAAUUGGAGAAAUUUGCCCCAAAACGGUCAUACGUGGGAUGGACAUACAUGGGAUGGACAUACAUGGAACAGUCGUAUGUCGGAUGUGGGACAGACGGACGCAGAACAUGGGAUGGACGCAGCACAGUCAGACACAAAACAUGAGAUGGACUCGGGACAGACGGACAUGAGAUGGACACGGGACAGUCAGAUGUGGAACAGGGGUGGACACAUGGAAUGAUCAUACGUGUGACAGGCAUACAUGGAAUCGUCAUAUUGGGACAGUAACACGGAACAGUCAUACGUGUGGUGGACACACGGAACGGUCAUAUGUGUGAUGGACACACGGAACGGUCAUACAUGAGAAGGACAGAUGGAAUGGUCAUAUGUGUGACAGACAUACAUGGAAUGGUCAUACGUGGGAUGGACACACGGAAUGGUCAUACGUGGGAUGGACAUACAUGCAAUGGUCAUACGUGGCGCACAGCCCUCACGUGGGACAGUCGGACACGGGACAGACGGAUGUGGAACAUGGAAUGGACACGGAACAGUCGGACGUGAGACAGACACGGGACUGUCAUACGUGAGACAGGUACAGGGUGUGGGUUGGACACAGGACAGUUGGACAUCGGACAGUCAGACACGGGACAGUCAGAUGCAGAACAUGAGAUGGACACGGGACAGUCAGACAUGGAACAUGGGAUGGACACGGGACAGUCAGACACAGGACAAUCGGACACAAAACAUGGGAUGGACACGCAACAGUCGGACAUGGAACAUGGGAUGGACACGGGACAGUCAGACAUGAAACAUGGGAUGGACAUGGGACAGUCGCACAUGAAACAGUCAGACACGGGACAAUCGGACACAAAAUAUGGGAUGGACAUGGGACAGUC